GGCCCCAAAAAUUUCCAUUAGCGAACACAACGGUAGCUUUGUUACUCGGCACUUUCUUUAUUCUGUAGCCCCAGCGUCUGGCCAAUUUUAUGGCUGUAUCGCCACCUUCGACACCUAUUGUAAAAACCGAUCCCAUCCCAAAAGUUUCGUCAAGUAUUCUCCUAAUUCGCCUUGAGGUUCUGAGUAGAAGGCUCUUGAUGUAUGCGCCAGCUUUCCAGCUUGAUCUCUCAUGACUUUCACUAGACGCGGAUGGCAGUGGCCCUGACUGACAGUCGAGAAUCCCGCCAGAAAAUCAAGAACACGAAGUGCCUCGAGAGCGAUCCUGCAUCCCAGGGGAUUACCGCCAUAGGUAGAUCCAUGCUCACCGGGUUUGAUGGUGAGCAUAACGGAGUCAUUUGCCAACACACCGGAAACUGGA